UUGGACCUUUGCUGGAGCUUUCCAACCCAUUUCACAUGUGUGCCCAAAACUUGUUUCUGAAGGAAUUAGUGUGUUCUGUGUGACUCUACUGGGAAAGGAUUUUUGGAUGCCUGGGUUUGCUUUCACACAGACUUCAUCCAAUCCUGAUUAAUUGAUUUGCUAUGAGUCCUUAGCUGUAAUGAAAUAUACCUGUGAUUGCGUGAUUACAGUUACAACACAGAGCCUUGUCACUCUUCCUAUUGAAUCACUAAAGGUUACUGUAUUAAAAGCUGGUGAGUCUGUAAACAGACUUGAGACAGUGAACGUAGUUAAGAAUUGGUGGAAACAAUUGUUUCUGUCUAUCAUUAGAUCCUAAGGUAUAUGAGCCAUGGAGAAAAAUUAAACACAGCCUCUACUUGAUAUCACUGUAAGGUGCAGGAUCCCUGGGAGAUGGGUGGGUUUUAUUUAAAGUAAAUAGAGAGGCUAGAGAUGGAGUUUGCUGACAGAGAGUAGGGUUUCUGUAAUGUUAAAGAGUUCUAUUGGUAUCAGUGAGUUGGGAUUAGUCAGAUUAGAUAUUUGGGGACUUCUGGGAGUUAGAGAUCAAUGUGCCUUGUGGGACUCUGUGAUUGAGGAACCUGUGGGUAAGUGCUGUGUUGGGAGUUGUUGUUGUUAAAAUUACUCACAUGAUUAAGGAGAAUUGUACUGACCUGGCUAUUUGGAGCGCUGUGGCAGUGAGUGUUGGGGUUUAUUAAGAGUUAGACUGGAAGUCUGUGAGGUGGAGAUUAGUGACAGAUCCAAGUCACACAUUGCUGGUCUGUGAGGGUUGCUUUUACAUGUUGAGAGGGCAUGUUUAAAUGUGUAUUGUGGGCAAUAGUGAAUAGUUGAGGUGAGAAGAAACUCAGGAAUGUGGAGAUUUGAGAAGUGCCAGACUGAGAAUAUGAUAGGAAUAUGUAGGCAUAUAAUAGGAAUCUAGAAUAUGAUAGGAAUCAGUAACAUUCAUAGAUUUAUCUGUGGCUUUUACUUAGAAGGAAUGGGAGCAGCUGGAACCUGUGCAGAGAAAUGUGUACAAGGAUACGAAGCUAGAGAACUGCAGCAAUCCAGCCUCCAUGGGAAAUCAAGAUCCCAAACAAGACAUAGUCUCCUUGUUGGAAGAAGAAGAGCCAUCAUCGGGAAAGGGGAAAAAAACCAGCCCAAGUAGUCUGAAAAAAAUAGCAAGGCCCAAGACAGCAGGAACAAGUGCAAGUAAGUUUUUAGUUUCUUGGCGUUAAGUUUGGAAUUCUUCAAAGAGUAAUUUGUAAACUUUUAUUAGAGCUGGGAAUACAGCUCAGAAUAGAGUGAUUUCUCACAAGGACCUAGAUUUAAUUCCCAAUAUGGAAAAAAAUUUUUUUUUCUUAAAAGCCCUAGGUUUUCUUUUUUUAACCAGGAACUAGUAGAAAAAACAAAAACAAAAAAACAAAACACAAAACAAAACAAAACAAAACCACCAGAAUCUCUCAGGAGAAAAGGAAUUCAAAGUACAGAUGUUUUCUUUGGAGAUUCUAAUAUCUCCUUUUUCUAUAAACCUGUCCACAUGAGAGGCUCAUGACAAGCUCUUAUGGAGAAGAAAAAAAAAAGGGUGAAUGAAACCACUUAAUUAAUCCUUGUAUGAAUCACUGCUUGGAUGUGGUAGCUCCACUGUAGCUACAUUU
ensembl:lncRNA